GCCCCGUUAGCUCAAUGGUCGAGCAGCUGGCUCUUAACCAGUUGAUGAGGGUUCGAUUCCCCCACGGGGUACAA
rnacentral:tRNA from 1 species